AUGGACAUGAUACUCGGAGCAUCAUUUUUGAUUGUGUGGCUUCAACUAGGCUGGGUGAGUGGCCAACAGAAGGGAGAAAGUGAGCAGCAGCAGGUGAAACAGAGCCCUCCAUCUCUGACAGUUCAGGAAGGAGAGAUUUCAAUUCUGAACUGUACUUAUGAGAACAGUGCAUUUGUCUACUUUCCAGGGUACCGACAACAUCCUGGUAAAGGCCCUGCAUUCUUGACAGCCAUACGUUCAGUUGUGAAUAAAACGGGAGAUGGAAGAUUUACAGUUUCCUUCAGUAAAAGUGCCAAACAUCUCUCACUGCACAUCACGGCUUCUCAGCCUGGAGACUCAGCCACCUAUUUCUGUGCAGCAAGUGCACAGUGCUCUCCAGGCACCUGCAGCCUGUACACAAACCUGCAGCUGAGGCUCCUGCCAAAUCCUGCUGUAACGGUGGUGAGUGUGCAGGUGCUUCACCCUCAUGAGCUCGAGGCAGGCCAGGAGCUCAGUGCGCUGCUGCUGCCCGGCAUCACCCGGGAACGCCACGCAGCGUGCUGCUAG